CAUCUCCUGGCUAACUGUACGGCACAUCAAAACAACAUCAUGUUUCUUCUUGCAGAUAUUCUCCUGCUACUCUUGUCUUAGCUAUCUCCGAAGUGGAUGAUAACCAAAUUGGCAAAUUUAGUUUUUAUACAAAGGAAGCCAUUCUUAAGCUCUUGUGCCAUUCAGGAGUGGAAAAUAUGCAAGUGACCCUAGCAUGCCAGGCUACUCAGAAGAAUGCUUUAAUGGUGGCUGUCCAGCAGGCAUCCUUCUAUCACACACCCCGUGGGAGCUGUCCCCCUAUCAAGGGCUCCGGAAGCUUUCGUGUCUAUUCAACUAGAAAAGGUGGGGCUGCGGGACAUGAUGCUGAACGCCUUCCUCCUCAGGAAACAAGCCAUGGCUGACAGAAUGAAAAACCUUGUGAGUAGAGUAAGAAGGGCUCCCUAAAGAUCUCAUCAGCUUUUACAUUUGAGCAAGUAAGAAAUCCUUAA
rnacentral:lncRNA from 1 species